rnacentral:lncRNA from 1 species
ACUCAGGCAUGGGCGUUGGGGGCGGCAGUGGCUGUCGAGCGCGGGCCGGAGACCAGGCACGGCUCCCCGGGCGGGCGCGCCGGCGUCGGACUUCCGAGGCGGCGGCUUCUGCUCUUGUGCCGCCGCCGCCGCCGGAGCUGCGGCUGCCGCGGAAGUUAAUUGCAACUUGACUUCAAGUUGUCUUCUUUCCCCAUCCGAAGUGGGCGUUUAAAGGGGAGAGCGAGGCGAGGAGCGAGCGAGCGAGCGCGCGGGGCCGAGGGAAGGAAGAGAAGGGGGGAGGGAGGAGAUGUUACCGGGGGGAGGGGAGGGGGAGGGGGCGGCUGGGGGCGGGAGGGGGAAAGGGGCCGGCGGGAGCUGCUCUCGGCUCGGCGGCCGCCGCGCCCGCAGUCUGGAGGCGCACCGGAGCGGCCGGGGCGCCCCUCGCGGGAGCCCGCAGCCACCGGGGCGCGCAUCCAGCCGCGGCUCCUCGGCCGGGCACGCUGCGCCCGGGGGCUCGGCGGACCCCGCGCCGCCGCCGCUUCGGAGCUUGUGCGCGGGCUGGCCGGCGGGGCGGCGAGGGCCCAACCCGCCUCCCCAGCGCCCGCCCCGGCUUCUCCCCCUGGCGGUGGAGCCUCGGCGGCCGCCGGCACCAGCAGGCGCGCUGGAGCCCGAGCCGAGCCGAGCCCGAGCCGCCGCCGCCGCCGCGCGCCGCUCCCAGGCUCCCUCCCAGCGCGCCGGCCGGGGUGUGGGGGGCGGCGGGCCGAGGGGCGAUGGCGGGUGGGGGGCGCGCCCUGGGGCUGGCGCCGAAGACCGGACCCUCCUCUGCCAGGGAUGAGAAAACUGGAACACUGACAGAUCAAGUAUCUUUCUCAAGAUUGCAUAGCCAAUGAGUAGAGGAGCAAGGAUUUGAACCAGGCUGUUGGCUCCACAGCCUACGCUUGAACCUGCUCUAGGCUGUCGGAAGCAACCUAAAUAGCUAACAACUGGAGAUUUGCUAAGGUGUUGCGGGCCUCUGCUCUCGUAAUACUUCAGCUACAGAACCCACGUGUGAACGCUCCUAGUUGCAGCCAUGCUCCCUUGCACGUUUUUUUGCGGAGGAAGAUUAGCCCUGAACUAACAUCUGUGUGCAUCUUGCUGUACUUUAUAUGUGCGACACCUGCCACAGCAUAGGUCCACACCCAGGAUCCGAACCAGUGAACCCUGUGCCACCAAAGCAGAACGCGUGAACUUAACCACUAUGCCAUUAGGCUGGUCCACCUUGCACUUUCUUUUAUUUCAGAUGAUUUUGUACUUUCUUUGUAACUCACUCUAAAUAAUGCGUGUUGUUUUGCAUUUUUUAUAUCAGGAAGCGAAAUAUUAAAAAAUUUAUCAAAGUUGUAGGAAAAAGGGCACUCCCAUAAUAGAAAAAAAAAUGUAGCUUUAUGUCAUCAUUUUUUUAGAGAUUCUCUAGAGGUGAGCAGGGUUCCUUUAAAAAUAUGAAAUGAUAUAUUAUUUGAAAGUUGCUUGAACUACCACUGAUUGAGAUGGUAAAUUGGCACAACAGUUGUGCAAUAGCCAUUUAAAAAACAGAAAAACCUUCAACUGUGUAUAACCAUUCAAACAGAGAUAUUCACUUUUAGAAAUUUAUGCUACAGAAAUACAGAUAUGUUCACAAUUAAGCAUGAGACUGUUCAUUGUGGCAUGAGAUAUAUUAGGGGAAAAUUGGAAACAUCCUAAUGUCUAAACAUAGAUGCUAGUUUAAUAAAUUAUAAUACAUCCAAUCUAUAAAAUUCCAUUUACCAUCACAUAGAAAUCAUAUAGAAAAUAUUUAAUGAUGUGAGAAAUACAAAACAUUAAGUGGAAAAAGUAAGCUAGAAAACAGUUUGUCUAAAAUGAUCACAUACAUAAUAUAUAUACAUAUGGUCUGUCAUACAAUAAAAUGUUAACAGGUCAAUUAUGUCUCAAUAAAACUGGAAAAAUGUUAUUGGUGUCUGUUUCUGUGUGUUGGGAUUAUGAGAUUAUUUUCUUUUUUGUUUAUAUUUAUUGAUUUCUU